rnacentral:sRNA from 1 species
CAGACAGUCCUGGAGACUGAAGUCCUCUGCUGUAUUUAUCUAUUGCAAAAGGACAGCAUAGGCAGCGGCAAUGCAAACUUCCCUGCACUGUGCUACCAGUGCACCGCCUCAACCUUGACUUGGAGGGACCUUACUGAACGGAGAGGCAAGUUCAGUCUCCAUCCGCUUUCAGGACCUAGUCUCU